CCCCAGAAAAUAAUGAAGCUUCCCUAAAUCCUUGAGUAAAAAUUUUGAACUCAAGUAUUGUUGUAGUUGUUCUUCCAACGGAGAGCUACUGCCUGUCAAAAGUAAAUCAUCAACAUAUGUCAAACAAUUUAGCACAUCUUUGCCUUUCGGAAAAACAAAUAGUGAUGUAUCAAGCUUGGAUUGAACAAAGCCAAAUUGUAGAAGAGCUUCUUUCAAACAACGAUUCCAUUGCCGCGGCGUGUGUUUCAGUCCAUAGAGAGAUUUUCGUAACCGACAUACAUAAUGUGGUUUAGAAAUAUCAAUAAAGCCCGGAGGUUGCUGCAUGUAAACUGGUUCAUCUAAUUUGCCAUGAAGAAAGGCAUUUGAAACAUCAUAUUGUUUAACAAACCAUUUGUUUGAAGUAGCAAGACUCAACACCAGUCGAAUUGUAACUAGUUUUACAACAGGAGAAAACGUUUCUCCAAAAUCUACUCCUGGCCUCUGGUGAAAUCCCUUAGCAACGAGCCCUCUGUUUCACCCAAGAAAGAUUGAUUAAAUCAUCAAAAAUUUAGAGCGUGAAGUGCAAUGAAGUCCAAUUAGAUCUAUGCUUUUGAGGUACCCAGAUUAGUAUUAUCAAUUAGAAUAAUUUAUGCCUUGUAGCGUUCUAUAGUGCCAUCUGCAUUCUCCUUCACUUUAAACACCCAUUUACAACCAAUUACAUUGCAUUAGGUGGUGGUUCAACAAGCUCCUAAGUCCUAAGCUGAAUCAACGAAUUGAGUUCAUUAUCAAGAGCCUCUCGCCACUCUUUAUACUUCUUAGCUUCAGUCACAGUAGCUGGUUGAAGUGGCGGCUUAACGACAAAGAGAACCUUUGGUUUUGAAUGACCCGUCUUUGACCUGGUAAGCAUAGGAUGAGUAUUCACCACACGAAGAGGUUGAGGAAGGAGAGAACCUGCUGAAUCUGCUUGAGAUUGGGGCGUGGACAGCGGCAACAACAUAGACAAAUCAGGAGCAGUAGACAAAUCGGUUAAGGGCACCAAUGGAGUAAAUAGUGGUGUAGAAUUGGAAACAACCACUGGUUGACGUUGCGAGGACUGUUGCGGUAUCAAAUGGAACGGCGGAGGGCCAAGAAUCCCUGGAUUUGAGUGUACUGCAGUGGGAACAUUAGAAACCUGCAACUAAAAAGAUUUAAAUGGAAAGUGAGUCUCAUCAAACACCACAUGUCUGGAAAUAUACAACCUCUUAGCCAUAACAUCAUAACAUUUGUAGCCUUUAUGCACCAAACUAUACCCAAGAAAAAUACAUGGGGAGGACCUAUCUUCCAGUUUGUGUUUAUUGUAUGGACGUAAAUAUGGAAAACAAAGGCACCCAAAUGUGCGAAGAGUAGUCAAAUCAGGCAUAGUUCCAAACAACUUCUCAUAGGGCGAGGUAUGCAGUAGUGGUGUAACCAGCCGAUUAAUAAUAUAAGCUGCAGUUUCAAAAGCAAAAUCCCAGUAAUCAAGAGGCAAAGUAGCAUAAUUUAACAUAGCCAAGCCAGUUUCCACAAUAUGCCUAUGUUUGCGCUCAGCAGAGCCAUUCUGCUGAGGCGUAUAAGGACAAGACAGUCUCAAAGAAAUCCCAUUGUCAGACAAAUAUGCAGCCAAAGACCGAAAUUCCCCUCCCCAAUCACACUGAAACAUCUUUAUCUUAGUAGUGAAGAAAGUCUCAACAAAUUUUUGAAAUUUAAUAAAAGUAGACAGCACAUAUGAUUUUCAUUUGAGACAAUAUAACCAGGAAUUCUUGCUGUAGUGGUCGUAAAAAAGAACAUAGUAACGAUUGCCAUUAAUAGAAGAAACAGGGGAUGGACCCCAUACAUCAGAACAAACAAGCUCAAGAGGAGCAGAAGCAGUAAAAGUAGACAUUGGAAAAGACAAACGAUGUGAUUUACUGACACAGCAAGAAGAACAAAGUUCCUUUUUAUUGGAAGAAAAAACAAUAUUAUUAUGUUU